CGCCUCUUGUAAUUUAAAAAUAAGAGGUCCCGCCUGCCCAGUGACACUAAGUUCAACGGCCGCGGUAUUUUGACCGUGCAAAGGUAGCGCAAUCACUUGUCUUUUAAAUGAAGACCCGUAUGAAUGGCAUAACGAGGGCUUAACUGUCUCCUUUUUCAAGUCAAUGAAAUUGAUCUCCCCGUGCAGAAGCGAGGAUAACAACAUAAGACGAGAAGACCCUAUGGAGCUUUAGACACCAGAGUAGCCCUUGUCAAACACCCCCAGUAAAAGGGCAAAACCAAAAGGACCCUACUCCCCUGUCUUUGGUUGGGGCGACCGCGGGGAAUACAAAACCCCCAUGUGGAAUGGGAGAACCCCUCCUGAAACCAAGAGCCACGGCUCUAAGCAAUAGAACAUCUAACCAAAAGAUCCGGCAUGACCGAUCAACGAACCGAGUUACCCUAGGGAUAACAGCGCAAUCCCCUUCUAGAGUCCAUAUCGACAAGGGGGUUUACGACCUCGAUGUUGGAUCAGGACAUCCUAAUGGUGCAGCCGCUAUUAAGGGUUCGUUUGUUCAACGAUUAAAGUCCUACG
rnacentral:rRNA from 1 species